rnacentral:rRNA from 1 species
AACGAACGCUGGCGGCAUGCUUAACACAUGCAAGUCGAACGGGAUCCAGGCCUUCGGGUCUGGUGAGAGUGGCGCACGGGUGAGUAACGCGUGGGAACCUGCCCAGUGGUAGGGGAUAACUGCGGGAAACUGCAGCUAAUACCCUAUGUGUCCUAUGGGAGAAAGAUUUAUCGCCAUUGGAGGGGCCCGCGUCGGAUUAGGUAGUUGGUGGGGUAAUGGCCCACCAAGCCUGCGAUCCGUAGCUGGUCUGAGAGGAUGAUCAGCCACACUGGGACUGAGACACGGCCCAGACACCUACGGGAGGCAG